GUUUACUCCCACCCCUCAUCCCGGGCUCCAAUGAUCCUUAGCCCGCGCAUUUCGAAAGGAUUUAAAGCUCGCUCAGCUCGUAGGAGGACACGGGGAGAAGACGCCGCUCCCAGAUCGGGAAAAGAAGUGAUUAUUUGCUGAAGAACCCCACGGAAAGAGGGCUGGCUUCUUAAACCUUUGUCAUAAAAGAUUUAAAAAAAAAUUCUUCAGGGUAAGUAAUUAGCUUUUAAAAGAACGGAUUGAAACAAAAUUAAAGGCAGCUACAAGAUCCACCUGAACCACGCCCUGUCUCCGGUCAACUGGCCAAAAAAGAAAAAAAUAUUCGGGAGGGGGGCAAAGAACCCCUCUCCUCCCAGGCCCGAGGAUCCUGGGGGUGACUGGUAAACGGGUAAAGACCUUUUUAUAGAUGCCAUCCAAUUGCCAUAGGGAAGGACUAGUAAUGAUUCUGGGAUGUUUGGGCAAACCGGGUAGUAAGUGGGGGCAUUCAUAUGUACGUCUAUGUACAUUUACCCAUAUAUUAAUGUACGUAUGUGAAUACAAACGUGUGCGUACACGUAAGAAUUAGAAAGUGCAAUAAUAAAGUCGACGGAGGUUCGAAGUC